AGUCUUAUAGCUCAGAAGGUAAGAGCACUACACUGAUAAUGUAGAGGUCGCUGGUUCAAAUCCAGCUGAGACUA
rnacentral:tRNA from 2 species